AUCGAAUCAUGUUUUUUCAAGUUCUUUUUUCCCGCUAGUUGGUGCUAUCGGCGUCCUGAUUUUCCCUGGUGGAUGGUACAAACAGGUAAAUACUGCUUGUCUUUUUUGCAUCCAAGCAUGACGUGUUUAUUUUAAAAAAAAGUUUCCUCCGUUUUUUAGCGUUGCAGAUAUGACAGGCAAAAUCAGCCAGUACUUUAAAAAGCGACCUCGCGAGGAGGAAAGUCAAGAGUCCAGGUGAAACACAACAGAGAAAAAAACGUAACAGGCAGUUAAAAUGCUAUAAUUCAUGGUGGUGACAACGUGGAAAUUUGUGUCAGGUCUGAAAGUACUUCACAAGGGACUGGUGAUCGUGAGGGUCCGAAUGCAGGACAGGACGAGUCGGCGAGGCGAGGGUAAUUAAUGAAUUAGUUUCCAAUUAGGAGCAUAACAACGCAAAGCUAACGUGUACGGGGUUUUUAUUCCUCUUUCCAGAUCUUCUCAAAAACACAGAGCCAGUGGCUUUGACAAGCAGUGGCUCAAUCAAUUUACCUGGCUUAUGAUUGAAAACACUAUCACUCUUCAUGUCUGUAUCAGAAUAAAAACAAAAAUACUUAAUGCAUGAUGAAUUGUUUUGUUUAAGGUGAAGACACCUCUGUGGAACAGACUGAAGGAGAGGCGCUUGGAUGUCUGUUGUAAGGUGGCCGUUGAUGGACCAGACCAGGAGGCCUUGGACUACAAGGAGUGCAUGAGGAGGUUCUACAGAAUGAAAAAGAGGAGGCUGAAAUGUUCUGUCUGGUUGCGAGAUGUGUGGAUGAAGUGUACUUUCAAUUUAAAGUUGCAAGCUGAUUUGUGUAUGUAUAUAGUUUUAAUAAAUGAAUGCUUUAACAUGAUAAUGGUCACACUCUUUUUUGAACUCUUAACUUAAAGUAUGUUGCCUGUAAAAGAAAGUGAGUCAGUUGAAUUUACAAAUACAUGCACGUCAUGGCGCAUGGUCAGGAUGGUGGCACCUCUGCCUCAAUUUGAGCCAGGAAAAACCCUGUUUAAGGUGGAUGUUGAUGGGCAGAUCAGAGGCAUCCACUGUGAAUGGUGAGUAAAAGACUUUGAACUCUGUCUCUAUUCCAUAUUCCAGAUUUUCCAACCAAUUUUUUAUUAGAAAUGCAUUACGGAAUUUUCA